rnacentral:tRNA from 1 species
GCCCCAUUAGUUCAGCGGAUAGAACAGUGGCCCUCUAAGCCUCGUGUCGGUCGUUCAAGUCGGCCAUGGGGCACCA